AGCCAGCAGCCGCGGUAAUACGUAGGGGCCUAGCGUUGUCCGGAAUUAUUGGGCGUAAAGAGCUCGUAGGCGGUUCGGCAAGUCGGAUGUGAAAUCUCCACGCUCAACGUGGAGGGGCCAUUCGAAACUGCCGUGACUCGAGUCCGGUAGGGGAGUGUGGAAUUCCCGGUGUAGCGGUGAAAUGCGCAGAUAUCGGGAGGAACACCAGUAGCGAAGGCGGCACUCUGGGCCGGUACUGACGCUGAGGAGCGAAAGCGUGGGGAGCGAACAGGAUUAGAUACCCUGGUAGUCCACGCCGUAAACGUUGGGCACUAGGUGUGGGACCCUAUCGACGGGUUCCGUGCCGUAGCUAACGCAUUAAGUGCCCCGCCUGGGGAGUACGGCCGCAAGGCUAAAACUCAAAGGAAUUGACGGGGGCCCGCACAAGC
rnacentral:rRNA from 1 species